UAUAUAGUUAACGUGCCUCUUAGCCUGGGAUAGCCACUGGAAACGGUGAUUAAUACUGGAUACUCCUUCUUGCUUGAUGUAAGUUGGGAAAGGUUUUUCGCUAAGAGAUCGGACUAUAAUGUAUCAGCUAGUUGGUGAGGUAAGAGCUCACCAAGGCGAUGACACAUAGCGGGUUUGAGAGGAUGAUCCGCCACACUGGUACUGAGACACGGACCAGACUCCUACGGGAGCAGCAGUGAGGAAUAUUGCACAAUGGGGGAAACCCUGAUGCAGCAACGCCGCGUGGAGGAUGACGCAUUUCGGUGUGUAAACUCCUUUAUAAGAGAAGAAAAUGACGGUAUCUUAUGAAUAAGUCCCGGCUAACUCCGUGCCAGCCGCUGCGG
rnacentral:rRNA from 1 species